AUGAACGCUGGCGGCUGCCUUAACAUGCAAGUCGAACGGCAGCGCGGGAGCAAUCCUGGCGGCGAGUGGCGAACGGGUGAGUAAUACAUCGGAACAUGUCCAGUAGUGGGGGAUAGCCCGGCGAAAGCCGGAUUAAUACCGCAUACGAUCUAUGGAUGAAAGCGGGGGAUCGCAAGACCUCGCGCUAUUGGGGUGGCCGAUGGCGGAUUAGCUAGUUGGUGGGGUAAAGGCCUACCAAGGCGACGAUCCGUAGCUGGUCUGAGAGGACGACCAGCCACACUGGGACUGAGACACGGCCCAGACUCCUACGGGAGGCAGCAGUGGGGAAUUUUGGACAAUGGGCGAAAGCCUGAUCCAGCAAUGCCGCGUGUGUGAAGAAGGCCUUCGGGUUGUAAAGCACCUUUGUCCGGAAAGAAAUCCUUCGAGAUAAUACCUUGAGGGGAUGACGGUACCGGAAGAAUAAGCACCGGCUAACUACGUGCCAGCAGCCGCGGUAAUACGUAGGGUGCAAGCGUUAAUCGGAAUUACUGGGCGUUAAGCGUGCGCAGGCGGUGAUGCAA
rnacentral:rRNA from 1 species